AGGGAAUCUUCCGCAAUGGACGCAAGUCUGACGGAGCAACGCCGCGUGAGCGAUGAAGGUCUUCGGAUCGUAAAGCUCUGUUGUAAGGGAAGAACAAGUACCAUUCGAAUAGGGUGGUACCUUGACGGUACCUUACCAGAAAGCCACGGCUAACUACGUGCCAGCAGCCGCGGUAAUACGUAGGUGGCAAGCGUUGUCCGGAAUUAUUGGGCGUAAAGCGCGCGCAGGCGGUCUUUUAAGUCUGAUGUGAAAGCCCCCGGCUCAACCGGGGAGGGUCAUUGGAAACUGGAAGACUUGAGUGCAGAAGAGAAGAGUGGAAUUCCACGUGUAGCGGUGAAAUGCGUAGAGAUGUGGAGGAACACCAGUGGCGAAGGCGACUCUUUGGUCUGUAACUGACGCUGAGGCGCGAAAGCGUGGGGAGCAAAC
rnacentral:rRNA from 1 species